CUACGGGAGGCUGCAGUGAGGAAUCUUCCACAAUGGACGAAAGUCUGAUGGAGCGAUGACGCGUGAAGGAUGAAGGUUGAGAGAUUGUAAACUUCUUUUCUGGGGGAGCAUAAUGAGAGUACCUCAGGAAUAAGGGACGGCUAACUACGUGCCAGCAGCCGCGGUAAUACGUAGGUCCCAAGCAUUAUCCGGAAUUAUUGGGCGUAAAGCGUCUGCAGGCUGACUUUUAAGUUGAUAAUGAAAGACCGGGGCUUAACCUCGAGUUUGUUAUCAAAACUGGAAGUCUAGGAUUAGGGAGAGGUAAGCAGAAUUCUAAGUGUAGGGGUGCAAUCCGUAGAUACUUAGAGGAAUACCAAAAGCGAAGGCAGCUUACUGGAACUAUAUCGACGCUCAGAGACGAAAGCGUGGGGAGCGAAAAGGAUUAGAUACCCCCGUAGUC
rnacentral:rRNA from 1 species